AAAAGUUUUCUUCUCAUCACAUCCCUUCGUUUUAGCUUUCAAUAGGACUUUGUUUCAGGAGACAUAUGGCUCGUAUCCAUGGCCAUGAUUUUCAUCUCUCUGUCCUCCAUGUCUUUUUCUUGUGCCUGCUACCUUUGAAUUGUAAAUGCUUCAUGUCAUGCCAUGUCCGCUUCUUCUCUUUUCAAGUCUCUCUCAAUUCUUAGUGUGGUGUUCUUAGCUACUUGCUCCAAAAAUUGUGCACAUUCAUUGUUCGAAGUGCUCCCUCUCCUGCCCUUUGCCGUCUUUCUCCCAAUAGGUCUCGACGCACGUGGGAGUGGUGAGUCUGUUUCUAUUAGGGAGUCCAAUGGCGAAUCAGUUGUUGGCGAAUCGUGGAGCGGCGUCUCAUUUAACACAACCGGCGGACCUGUGAAAAUAAUUUUGAAUCUCGAACAAUCCUUCACAACUUCCCAACAUUGGUGAUUCAAGAAACUUUUUUUGCCUUGUCC
rnacentral:lncRNA from 1 species